CUCGGCCUGUCCCAAUUCGAAGACUCCUUCAAAUGCGGUCGACGAAUGCGGCCUUCUUUUCGCCUGAAUGAAGGAUGGGUCGGGUGUAUCCUUCAAUAGGUAGCAUUUCCCAAGAUGCCUUGCGGGCCGGCCGGCAGAAAAACUUAAAAACAAUGGCGGACAGUGAAGCGGGAGCUGUCGGAGAGGAUUGCGCAUAUAAAUGACCAAAAGAGAAAACCAGGGAAUUUAUUAAGCUUAGGGCGGAGAUGGACCACAUGAUCACCGGAGCAAAGUAUUCGGCGGCUGUGGCAUGGAGACUAUUCUGGAGAAAAUGGGCAUCCAGGGGAAGGUGCCAGCGAUGAGCUUCUGGAGCUGAUCUGGGAGGACAUGAGGCUGCAGAGCAGCAGAGAGCACAGGAGAGAAGGAAGAACUUUGACAGCUUUUUACUUUGCUAGAAAAAAAUGGUUAAUGAAGAUUAAACAUGUACAUAUAAAAGAAAUAUCUAAAUAAAAUGAGUUCUGCAUUAAAC